UACGAGGGGGGCAAGUGUUGUUCGGAAUUAUUGGGCGUAAAGAGCUCGUAGGCGGUUUGUCGCGUCUGCUGUGAAAACUGGAGGCUCAACCUCCAGCCUGCAGUGGGUACGGGCAGACUAGAGUGCGGUAGGGGAGAUUGGAAUUCCUGGUGUAGCGGUGGAAUGCGCAGAUAUCAGGAGGAACACCGAUGGCGAAGGCAGAUCUCUGGGCCGUAACUGACGCUGAGGAGCGAAAGCGUGGGGAGCAAACAGG
rnacentral:rRNA from 1 species